GUCCUUUCUCUGCCUUCUUUAUCUUUUGCUGCCGCCGCGAGGCAAGCAGUGGUACUGCCCCACCGGCUUUGUUGGCUGGGCCAGCCUGAAAAGGCCGCGCCAUAGCGUUGCUAAGGACGCUCGUAGAGACCAGCUGGUCGGUGGGUGGACGGUCCAGUGGUCCCAAAAUAUACACAGAUUACCUGCCCGAAGGAGCCACUGUCAAAAACCCAACGAUCCCGUCACAGAAAACACAAGUCACAGAAAACAGCUCCAGACAGAGCAGCAGAAACAGACUGUGUCCGGGCGUGGUGUGACCUUUGUCAGCCUGGGCAGUGCCGCCAAAGGAUGAAAAGGGAAGCAGCCAAGUGGCCUUUCCUGACCUGAGGUCAAGGAUCUCUGCCCCUGCCCCUUGGGGGGGGCAGACUCAGUGUGGCUCACAAGCAGAAACGUUUGGGAAAAUUUUGUUUUCACUCCCGAACCCUGCAGCAGGAGAUCAACAGGACAGCGGCCAUCUUUCCCGCACGAACACAAAUGCAGCCUC